AAUGAACGUUGGCGGCGUGGAUUAGGCAUGCAAGUCGCGCGACAAGGAACCUUCGGGUUCUGGAGGAGCGGCAAACGGGGUAGUAAGGCAUCGGAACGUACCCUCUUGUUGGGAAUAGCCGCGGGAAACUGCGAGUAAUGCCCAAUAAUCCCUACGGGGCAAAGGUCCGCCGCAGGAGGAGCGGCCGAUGUGAUACCAGCUAGUUGGUGAGGUAAUGGCUCACCAAGGCUUAGACGUCUAGGGGGUGUGAGAGCAUGGCCCCCACCACUGGGACGUGAGAUACUGCCCACGACACCUACCGGGUGGGCUGCAGUCGAGAAUCUUCGGCGAAUAGGGCGGCAAGACC
rnacentral:rRNA from 1 species